CCAGACUCCUACGGGAGGCAGCAGUGGGGAAUAUUGGACAAUGGACCAAGAGUCUGAUCCAGCAAUUCUGUGUGCACGAUGAAGUUUUUCGGAAUGUAAAGUGCUUUCAGUUGGGAAGAAACAAAUGACGGUACCAACAGAAGAAGUGACGGCUAAAUACGUGCCAGCAGCCGCGGUAAUACGUAUGUCACAAGCGUUAUCCGGAUUUAUUGGGCGUAAAGCGCGUCUAGGUGGUUAUGUAAGUCUGAUGUGAAAAUGCAGGGCUCAACUCUGUAUUGCGUUGGAAACUGUAUAACUAGAGUACUGGAGAGGUAAGCGGAACUACAAGUGUAGAGGUGAAAUUCGUAGAUAUUUGUAGGAAUGCCGAUGGGGAAGCCAGCUUACUGGACAGAUACUGACGCUGAAGCGCGAAAGCGUGGGUAGCAAACAGGAUUAGAUACCCUGGUAGUCCACGCCGUAAACGAUGAUUACUAGGUGUUGGGGGUCGAACCUCAGCGCCCAAGCAAACGCGAUAAGUAAUCCGCCUGGGGAGUACGUACGCAAGUAUGAAACUCAAAGGAAUUGACGGGGGCCCGCACAAG
rnacentral:rRNA from 1 species